rnacentral:Y_RNA from 1 species
AGCUGGUGGGAAGGUAGCGAGUUGUCUCAAUUGAUUGUUCACGGUCAGUUACAGAUCGAAGUCUUUGAUCUAUUCCUUCCCCUUUUCACUACUGCACUUGAUUAGUCUUUA